CUAAGGAUAUUCCGCAACGGGCGGAAGCCCGGCGGAGCGACGCCGCGUGGACGAUGAAGGCCGGAAGGUUGCAGAGUCCUUUUGCGGGGGAAGAAGGACGCGCGGAGGGAAUGCCGCGCGGGCGACCGUACCCCGCGAAUAAGGGGCGGCUAAUUACGUGCCAGCAGCCGCGGUAACACGUAAGCCCCGAGCGUUGUUCGGAAUCAUUGGGCGUAAAGGGCGCGUAGGCGGCCGCUCAAGCCCGGAGUGAAAGGCGGGGGCCCAACCCCCGGACUGCUCCGGGAACUGGGCGGCUGGAGUCGCCGUGGGGGAGCCGGAAUUCCUGGUGUAGGGGUGAAAUCUGUAGAUAUCAGGAAGAACACCGAUGGCGAAGGCAGGCUUCCAGCGGACGACUGACGCUGAGGCGCGAAGGCGCGGGGAGCGAACAGG
rnacentral:rRNA from 1 species